UUUUCUGGUUAUAACCCACCG
rnacentral:piRNA from 1 species